rnacentral:rRNA from 1 species
UACGUAGGGUGCAAGCGUUGUCCGGAAUUAUUGGGCGUAAAGAGCUCGUAGGCGGUUUGUUGCGUCGGCUGUGAAAUCCCGAGGCUCAACCUCGGGUCUGCAGUCGAUACGAGCAAACUAGAGUGUUGCAGGGGAGACUGGAAUUCCUGGUGUAGCGGUGAAAUGCGCAGAUAUCAGGAGGGAACACCGGUGGCGAAGGCGGGUCUCUGG